CUGACGAGUCCCAAAUGGGACGAAACGCGCGUC
rnacentral:hammerhead_ribozyme from 1 species